rnacentral:pre_miRNA from 1 species
CGGGGGAGGUCAGAUCCUGGGCUGUGUCCCCGGCACCCUGUGCUCUGGGGCCUGCGCUGUUGGAUUCACGCUCUCGGCCGCGCAGCUGCCU